AGCUCUCCGAGUGGUGUGGACGUUUAUUGGGCCUAAAGCAUCCGUAGCUGGCUGAACAAGUCCCCUGUUAAACCCACCGAUUUAAUCGUUGGUCUGCGGGGGAUACUGCUCGGCUAGGGGACGAGAGAGGCAGGCGGUAUUCCCGGGGUAGGGGUGAAAUCCUAUAAUCCCGAGAAGACCACCAGUGGCGAAGGCUGCCUGCUAGAACGCGCCCGACGGUGAGGGAUGAAAGCUGGGGGAGCGAACC
rnacentral:rRNA from 1 species